rnacentral:rRNA from 1 species
AACGCUAGCUACAGGCUUAACACAUGCAAGUCGAGGGGCAGCAUAUUUCUAGCAAUAGAGAUGAUGGCGACCGGCGCACGGGUGAGUAACACGUAUCCAACCUGCCUUAUACUCGGGGAUAGCCUUUCGAAAGUAAGACUAAUACCCAAUGAUAUCUCUAGAAGACAUCUGAAGGAGAUUAAAGAUUUAUCGGUGAUGGAUGGGGAUGCGUCUGAUUAGCUUGUUGGCGGGGUAACGGCCCACCAAGGCAACGAUCAGUAGGGGUUCUGAGAGGAAGGUCCCCCACAUUGGAACUGAGACACGGUCCAAACUCCUACGGGAGGCAGCAGUGAGGAAUAUUGGUCAAUGGACGAGAGUCUGAACCAGCCAAGUAGCGUGCAGGAAGACGGCCCUAUGGGUUGUAAACUGCUUUUAUAAGGGAAUAAAGUGAGAGUCGUGACUCUUUUUGCAUGUACCUUAUGAAUAAGGACCGGCUAAUUCCGUGCCAGCAGCCGCGGUAAUACGGAGGAUCCGAGCGUUAUCCGGAUUUAUUGGGUUUAAAGGGUGCGUAGGCGGAGUAUUAAGUCAGCUGUGAAAGUUUGGGGCUCAACCUUAAAAUUGCAGUUGAUACUGGUAUUCUUGAGUAUAGUGGAGGUUAGCGGAAUUCGUGGUGUAGCGGUGAAAUGCUUAGAUAUCACGAAGAACUCCGAUUG